GACGAACCGUGCGAACGUUGUUCGGAAUCACUGGGUUUAAAGGGUCCGUAGGCGGAUCUGUAAGUCAGUGGUGAAAUCUCACAGCUUAACUGUGAAACUGCCAUUGAUACUGCAGGUCUUGAGUGUUAUUGAAGUAGCUGGAAUAAGUAGUGUAGCGGUGAAAUGCAUAGAUAUUACUUAGAACACCAAUUGCGAAGGCAGGUUACUAAGCAACAACUGACGCUGAUGGACGAAAGCGUGGGGAGCGAACAGG
rnacentral:rRNA from 1 species